GAUGAACGCUGGCGGCGUGCCUAAUACAUGCAAGUCGAGCGAACGGACGAGAAGCUUGCUUCUCUGAUGUUAGCGGCGGACGGGUGAGUAACACGUGGAUAACCUACCUAUAAGACUGGGAUAACUUCGGGAAACCGUAGCUAAUACCGGAUAAUAUUUUGAACCGCAUGGUUCAAAAGUGAAAGACGGUCUUGCUGUCACUUAUAGAUGGAUCCGCGCUGCAUUAGCUAGUUGGUAAGGUAACGGCUUACCAAGGCAACGAUGCAUAGCCGACCUGAGAGGGUGAUCGGCCACACUGGAACUGAGACACGGUCCAGACUCCUACGGGGGGCAGCAGUAGGGAAUCUGCCGCAAUGGGCGAAAGCCUGACGGAGCAACGCCGCGUGAGUGAUGAAGGUCUUCGGAUCGUAAAACUCUGUUAUUAGGGAAGAACAUAUGUGUAAGUAACUGUGCACAUCUUGACGGUACCUAAUCAGAAAGCCACGGCGAACUACGU
rnacentral:rRNA from 1 species